UACGGGGGGAGCAAGCGUUGUUCGGAUUUACUGGGCGUAAAGGGCGCGUAGGCGGCCACUGCAAGUCAGUUGUGAAAUCUCCGGGCUUAACCCGGAAAGGUCAACUGAUACUGCAGGGCUAGAGUGCAGAAGGGGCAACUGGAAUUCUCGGUGUAGCGGUGAAAUGCGUAGAUAUCGAGAGGAACACCUGCGGCGAAGGCGGGUUGCUGGGCUGAUACUGACGCUGAGGCGCGAAAGCUAGGGGAGCGAACGGG
rnacentral:rRNA from 1 species